UAUAGGGUUGAAGGAUUAAAAAUUAAUAAUAAGCCGCCUAGCUACCCAAAAAGAAGAGGUAGGGUCUGUGAGAACAUGAACUUUUCGCCCCUCCCUUGCUGUGCAAUGGUUCCCGGAACAUUCUUGCAUGAAAGGUUUCCUGGAACAGCCACAAUGACCCAUAGCCUCCGGCCACAAUGGUCCAAUGGCCCUGUAAAAUGUCACUACCCCUAAUCACAAUGUCACAAAGUCCUAAAUUGUAUGGGCAGUUUAUGGUUUUGGAAUUCCCCUCCUCCCUCCCUCUUGAUCCCCCUGGUUUGUGGUUUUUUCCUUUAUAAGCUCUGUGAAAAUUCAGGUCGGGGUCGAACUCCUCUACUCCCUGUGUGGUGUAUGAGUCUCGACCCUAGCAUGCUGGCCUGAGCUCUCGUUUCAUCUCGCUCACAAUAAAUCUUCCUCGUGUGAUUACAGCAGGUCGGUGUCUGUGUCCUACUGGGUGCGCGUCUUUCCCGAGACUUGAGUGGGGGGCUCCCUUCGGGGGUCUUUCAUUUGGGGGCUCGUCCGGGAUCUGCGCGACCACCCAGGGGUCCUAGACCCACUUGGAGGUAAGAUUCUCUGUUUUAUCUCAGCGCUGUGUCUGGGUCUGUGUCUAUGUUCUGUCUGGGAAUCUGGUGCGAUCGCUGUUUCGGUUUUGCGGACGCUCAGUGAGACCGCGCUCCAGGAAGGAGAGCGGGGUGGAUAGGGAUAGACGUGUCCAGGUACCCACCGUCCGUUCGCCCUGGGAGACGUCCCAGGAGGACAAGGGGGGACCAGGGACGCCUGGUGAACCCCAUCUGAUAGGUCCAGAGGAGACUUUACUCCUUGACGACCGGUUUGUUAGGCAAGGUCUGCGACCUGCCGAUCAGUUUCAGUGCCUCUGGUCGACACGAAGUCGACGUCGGUUUUUUUUUUUUUUUUUUUUUUCUCUUUUGUUUGUGCUCGUGUGUGUGAGUGUGUGUGAAUUAAGUCCUGUAGUCUGUGUUUUUCGGUACCGGUUUAAGGUCUUAGUGCACUGUCUGGGCAGAUGAAGGUUUCCUGCCCUGUGCACGGGUGGAAGAAGGUUCCCCACCCCGAAAUGGCGCCUGUGAGUAGAUGAAGGAUUCCUACUCCGAAUAGUCUUUUUCUUUCUUUUUUUCCUUUUUAGAAAGCGCACCGGGGGACGCCCCAAUCGCGCAGGCUCUGGGACUCGUGAGAGACGUUCCACGAGUCAGCCUUUGUUGGGUCCUGGCUCUGGGACGCGUGAGAGACGUUCCUCGAGCCGAAUUUUGUCGGGAGGACCCGGCAACGGGCAGUCAAAAAGAUCUGACUGUGACUUUGGAGGUCAUGUUCGGCUGCCUAUUUAAGUAUAGGCACGGACAAGUGUGCUUAGAUGUGUUAGUGUCUGUUGUCUGUAUUCUGUUUCUGUGUUUGGUAUCCCGGAAGCAGCUAAGGUUAAGCUGCAGUUUGGGCCAGGUACUGAAGGUACCAGGCAUCUGUGGAAAUUGGUUAUAGGAUGCUUUGUCUUGGUCUUGUUUGUCUGGAUUGUUUUCUGUGGUAUUGUCCAGUGUCUUUUUGACUUCUUUUCGUGUUUGAAUUUGGACUGACGACCGUGUUUAAAAUCUUGGACUGACGACUGUGUUUGAAAUCAUGAAACUGUUUGCUUUGUUCAUCGAAGAGUUUUACUUGGUCCCCUUAAUGCUUAGUAAGAAACUUAAUCUUAUGGACCCCGCUCUAGUGGCGGUGUGUUGGUUGAUAGCCAAAGUUAAUUUUUAAAAUAGUGUUUUAUCUGUGCUUGUGCUCGCAGCACACAGUAGAGGGGAGCGAAAUUAGCUGCGGAGCUGCUGCAGCGAGCAUGGGGACUUCUCAAGUCUCACCCAAUUUUUCUGGCUCUUCAGGAGCUGUUUAAAAGGAAAAGGCUUAAGGUAAAAAGAAACACUAUAGAGAGAUUUCUUAGUGAAUUACUACACCUUGCUUCGCGAUCUCUGGGAAUCUCAUGGUGGACAGCUGAGAUAAGCUGGAAAAGGAUUUAAAUUUUGCUUGGGAGCAAAGAAUCUUAAAGGUGGAGUUUCAGCCGGUAUGACACUUAGUGCUUAGCUGCCUAAAAGAUCAGAAAUGCUGUCAACAGGCUAUAAAAAAGGGACAGGCUGUGUUAAAAAUGCUACAGAAGAAUAAUCUAAAAAGGCUGAGAGCUAGGUGGGGCUAUAAGGAAAACAAGAACAGGAAAGGAAUUUCUGACAUUUGCUCACAGAAGGAGAGUGCUCAUUUAGAGAAGUUCUUUAAGGAAGCCUGCCUUAUCUGCUGUCUUUAUUCCAAGGGAGGAGUCAGUCUCCAGCACUAAAUUACUUGGAGGUAGCCAAGUUCAGGAUUAAUGUUUUCUUUUCCAUGGGCCUUUAAACCCAGUGAGACAGUUUGGUAAAGGGCUACUACUGAGGUCCUGAUAGCCCCAGGUGAACUGGUUACAAUUCUUUUAUCAGCCCCCUGGCAUCUAGCAACCAGGUUCUAACCAUCUCUCCAUCCUUUUGUUAUUAGUUGUUACUAGAAGCCUAGUGUCAUUUGGAGGCUGGUUCUCUUGAGAGGCAAAGCCAUGGAGCUGACACUGACAAUGGCCUUUUUGUUCCAAGAAAGGCCUCCUGGUUUAGCUGUGUGACUAAAUGCUGUUUGCCCUCUUCGGUAGACUCUAUUCUCAAGAUUCUCUUGUUUUCUCACCAUCCCAUUUGAUAUGCUUGUUAGUAACUGUUACAGGUCUUCUUUACCACCGAUGAAAGACGGAAUCCUACUGGAGACCAGAAAAAAAUGUUCCAGACACGGAUAGAAGGCCCUCACUUCUGCCUGCUCUCUUCAGACGCCUGAAGGUAGGGAGUGCCAGGUCUGCCCCCAGGCUCCAAGGGUCGGUCUCCUAGGGGCUGGAAAAUGCCCCACCAAUCUGGCUAAGAUAAGGAAAAGAUAUGAAGAGAAAGUUACAGAAACUUGAAGGGUUAAGCUAAGUCGCUGAGAGAGUUAUUGUAAGUUGAUGCAUGGUUCAGGGUCUGUGCAGAAAAGUGGACAGCACCUAAUAGCUGUAGAAGAAGAUGCAGAGAGACAGAAAAAAAAAAAGAAAGAAAGAAAGAAAGAGGUAAAGAGUGCAGGAAGCUAGGGAAGAAAAGAGACUAAAAGAAGAGGAAGCUAGAGAGCUAAAGAGAGAUAAAAGACAAGAGAGGAACAUAUACUGGCCACAGUAGUUAGGGAACCUAGGAAGACAGUACCUGGCAACAGAAGAGAAUUCCUGGCUAAAGAUCAGUGUGCCUAAUGCAAAGAAAAAAAAGACACUGGGUCAGGGACUGCCCCAGAAAGAACAAGAGGGGACACUGGAGAGCCUCUUGGUCCUAGAGUGCUGGCUAUGUACAGAGAUAGAAGGGAAGUGUGGAUGCAGGGACCCAAUGCUCUGUGCUCCUAUGCCCCCCUCCAGUGGGCCAAUAUCCAAAGACCUUGGGUACAGGGGCCUACUGGCAACAAACAAUACUUAUGGACUGCCCGAAGAACAGUGGACCUUGGCGUGGGCCGGGUAACCCACCCACUAGUUCAUAGUCAUCCCUGACUGCCCCUAUCCCUUGCUCAUGAGAAAAUUGCUCUCCAAAAUGGCUUGCGUGGGCUGAAAUGGCUGGGUGAGGCCAUGUGUAUGCAUAUCUACAGACUGUGUAUGCGGAGCUUAAGACCUGUCUCAGUGCACCAGUACCUGAUGCUGGGAGACGAAUGGCUUAGCGCUGUUCUACUUGGAACAUAUCACUCCUGCCAGCCGGGCACUAACAAUUAUCACCCAAUCCAGGACUUAAACUGUGAUAGAGUGGCUGAUGUUCUGCCUUUGAAUAGAGUGUCCCAAAAGAUGGGACCACUGGUCAGCUGCCAUGGACUAGAUUCUCUACCAGUUGGGGACAAUCUGGUCACCUUGCUGCCCAAUCCGGACCUGGAGCCACCACAGCACGAGUGUCAAGUACUGGCAGAAGCCCAUGGAUGGAGGAAAGACCUCUGCGACUGGUUGAUUGACCCCUGCUGAAAGCCGAGGACCUUGUCCACAGACGGGAACAGUUCUCUUCAUGAAUGAAGUACAUCAGCACUGCAGAUGCCUUUACCAUCUCUUGGAUGCCCUGGUGAAGCCAACAACUGUGAGUACUAUUCAUUGCUCAGGAUAUCAGGAGGGAAGAGAUUCAGUGACAUGGGGCAAUAACGAAGCAGAUAAAGUGGCUCGAAAAAUGGUUAUGCAGGAGCCCAUCCUGGUUGCAGGCCUGCAAGAGACAGCCACUGGGAACUGGGAUCGGACUAAGGGAUGGCCUCACUUAGAAAAGGCCCAAAUUGCUUAAAAGAUAAAGGACAAUGGCACAUUGAGGGGAAAGCUAUACUUCCCAGAGAACAAAGAAAAGACUCACUUUGCCAAAUACAGAAAUGGACUCAUUUAGGAGAUAAAAAGUUUGUCCAAGUAGUUAAGUGUAUGUAAUAGACUUUAAGAUUUUAGCCAGAGAGACAGUAGAAAGUAUAAGGUAUGUCAAUAAGUGAAUGCUUAGCAAGCAAACAGGGCAAAGAGACCUAGAGAGUUUGGUGAAAAGUCGAAGUGAACUUCACUGAGAUAAAACCAGAAAAAUAUAAUCACAAGUAUCUCCUAGUGCUUGUAGAUACUUUUUCAGGAAUAGAUAGAAGCUUUCCUCACCAAACAAGAGACGGCCUCUGCAAUCAUCAAGAAGAUACUGGAAGAAAUCUUCCUCCGAUUUGGAAUGCCCAAGGUAAUCUGGUCAGACAACGGCCCUACUUUCGUUGCCAAGGUAAGCCAGGGUGUGGCCAAGUAUUUAGAGGUCAAUUGGAAAUUACAUUGUAUUUACAGACCUCAAAGUUCAGGACAGGUAGGGUAAAUAAAUAGAACUCUAAAAGAGACCCUGACCAAAUUAACCAUGGAGACUGGCACAGACUGGGUGACACUCCUUCCCUCUUGCUCUCUUCAGAGCAAGAAAUACCCCUUCCAGAUUCAGCCUUACCCCCUUUGAGAUCUUAUAUGGGGCCUCAGCCCCCCUGACUGUAUUAGAUGAUGUUACUGAACCAACAUGUCAUAGUGCCAUAGUAAUAAUGAUUUGUGUGCCAGGCUAAAAGACCUACAGGUGAUACAGAAAGAAAUCUGCUCACAGCUGACAGCAGCCUAUGCCCCGGAGACCCCUGAGACAUCCCAUCAGUUCCAGGUUGCAGCUACACUGAGUCCAGACACUCGAGCCUCGCUGGAAAGGACCGUACCUGGUGCUGCUGACCACCCUGACAGCUGUCAAUUCUCAGCCCUCACCAGCCGUGUACUAGCUGUUGGGGCUGAGAGCUGGGACCUAGAGGGAAAUUCAGUCAUGUUUGUCCUGGGUUCUAUCAAGAUAGGUGUGGGAUAGGCUUGAUUUCCAUUACAAAUGAUGUAACAUUGCAUAUGUUAGUACUCUUAACACUUCUUGGGACUGUGCCUCAGGGAUCACAGUCCGUAUAAGCUUAGAAGUUCUAAAAGCUAGUCAUGACCUUGGUGGAUAGGCUUGGAUAGUGUCCAGGUUAGAAUCCUCAUGUUAAGACUACAAUACCAAGCUGUUAUGCUAGAUGAAGCUGAGUUCUCCAUGAAGUUCUAGGAUUAGAACUAUUAACAAAAAGAAGAAGUGGGGAAUGAAGGAUUAAAAAUUAAUAAUAAGCCGCCUAGCUACCCAAAAAGAAGAGGUAGGGUCUGUGAGAACAUGAACUUUUCGCCCCUCCCUUGCUGUGCAAUGGUUCCCGGAACAUUCUUGCAUGAAAGGUUUCCUGGAACAGCCACAAUGACCCAUAGCCUCCGGCCACAAUGGUCCAAUGGCCCUGUAAAAUGUCACUACCCCUAAUCACAAUGUCACAAAGUCCUAAAUUGUAUGGGCAGUUUAUGGUUUUGGAAUUCCCCUCCUCCCUCCCUCUUGAUCCCCCUGGUUUGUGGUUUUUUCCUUUAUAAGCUCUGUGAAAAUUCAGGUCGGGGUCGAACUCCUCUACUCCCUGUGUGGUGUAUGAGUCUCGACCCCAGCAUGCUGGCCUGAGCUCUCGUUUCAUCUCGCUCACAAUAAAUCUUCCUCGUGUGAUUACAGCA